rnacentral:tRNA from 1 species
GCCGAGAUGAUGGAAUUGGUAGACAUAAGGGACUUAAAAUCCCUAGGACAGAAAUGUCCGUGCGGGUUCGAUUCCCGCUCUCGGCA